UACAGAGGGUGCGAGCGUUAAUCGGAAUUACUGGGCGUAAAGGGCGCGUAGGUGGUUUGUUAAGUUAGAUGUGAAAUCCCUGGGCUUAACCUAGGAACUGCAUCUAAUACUGGCGAGCUAGAGUACUGUAGAGGGUAGUGGAAUUUCCGGUGUAGCGGUGAAAUGCGUAGAUAUCGGAAGGAACAUCAGUGGCGAAGGCGGCUACCUGGACAGAUACUGACACUGAGGCGCGAAAGCGUGGGGAUCAAAC
rnacentral:rRNA from 1 species